GAAGAAAUAAGCUAUAUAAGCUUCAGGGCUCAUAACUCUGUGAAACAAAAGUUUUCUUCA
rnacentral:tRNA from 1 species